CUUUUUGUCCCCUCCUUGCUGGUCUUCUAAGCAGAUUGAAGCAGCUUCAUCUCAUUCCUGGUUCAUCCUGAUUCCCUCAGUGGCUUGCUCCUGCAUUAGUAAUGUAAAACUGGCCCAAAAGGGUUUAAAAUUGUCAGAAGUUGAUCUUGAUCAGUUCAAAUAUUUUUUGACAAAGAAAAUCAGUUCUGGUCAGUUCAAAUCUAUUUUGACCAGUUUAAACCAAUUCUGCAGAACUCGAGCCUGUGGUCGGUAAACCCAGGAAGAUGGCUGAAGACUAUGCUGAUUCAAGCCAAAGCAAGGAAUCAGCAAUGUGAAAAUGGACUAAUACAAUGGCGUUGGUUUCUAAUGGUUUAACACUAUCACCCUGAGUGCUGUUCUCCUAACAGUGACUAUAGAAAAGUUAUUAAAAAGAAAAAAUCAUGAAGAAAAGAAACAGAAAGUAGAUCAUGGAAUCUGUCUGAUCUUCUUUUCCUAUGUAAUCAAGAAAGCCUGGACAGAGAAUUAUUAGUGGAUGGGCCGCAAAGGAGAUUCUUCCAAGAUUUCAGAAGUUGGAAGGGAAGCAGAAUCCAUUUGAUAACACAAACACAUUGUUGCUUAUCUGUUGACUCAACUUGGGAUGAAGAAGCAGUUGAGCCAGUUGUGUGUGUAGAGCUCAAGGACAAAGGUCCUUAGCUUCUGCAGAAUACUAUCAUCACCAAGCUCACAGGCUUCUAGAGCAGACAUGUGCUUCAGUCCAUUCUGUGGGCUUCCAGCUUCUACUCUUGGAGUUCCAUCCUUUUUUAUGAUAUUACCUUUCUAACUGCAUAUGCUGUGGACUUCAAGCACUUGAAUCAGAUGUAGAGACAUUAUAUGGACUGCUUGAGUAGCCCCCACAACUGUGUAAGCCAAAUCCCUGUAACAAGUAUUUAUCCGUCCAUCCAUUCAUCUGUCUGUCUAUCUAUGAAUCUAUUGAUCUAUCUAGCUAUAUUAGUCCAUUCUUGCACUCUAUAAAGCACUACACAAGACUGGAUAAUUUAUAAAG
rnacentral:lncRNA from 10 species